rnacentral:tRNA from 1 species
GGGGCUGUAGCUCAGUGACAGAGCAUCUGCUUUGCAUGCAGAAGGUCCCGGGUUCAAUCCCCAGCAUCUCCA